rnacentral:rRNA from 1 species
GUGGGGAAUCUUCCGCAAUGGACGAAAGUCUGACGGAGCAACGCCGCGUGAGUGAAGAAGGUUUUCGGAUCGUAAAGCUCUUUCGUUAGGGACGAACGUGCUCUUUGUGAAUAAUGAGGAGUAAUGACGGUACCUAAAUAAGAAGCCACGGCUAACUACGUGCCAGCAGCCGCGGUAAUACGUAGGUGGCAAGCGUUGUCCGGAAUUAUUGGGCGUAAAGCGCGCGCAGGCGGGAUAUCAAGUCUGUCUUAAAAGUGCGAGGCUCAACCUCGUGAGGGGACAGAAACUGGGAUUCUUGAGUGUCGGAGAGGAAAGUGUAAUUCCAAGUGUAGCGGUGAAAUGCGUAGAGAUUUGGAAGAACACCAGUGGCGAAGGCGACUUUCUGGACGAUGUCUGACGCUGAGGCGCGAAAGCUAGGGGAGCGAACGGGAUUAGAAACCCGUGUAGUCC